AUUGAACGCUGGCGGCAUGCCUUACACAUGCAAGUCGAACGGCAGCGGGGGAGAAGCUUGCUUUUCCUGCCGGCGAGUGGCGAACGGGUGAGUAAUACAUCGGAACGUGCCCUGUAGUGGGGGAUAACUAGUCGAAAGAUUAGCUAAUACCGCAUACGACCUGAGGGUGAAAGUGGGGGACCGCAAGGCCUCAUGCUAUAGGAGCGGCCGAUGUUUGAUUAGCUAGUUGGUGGGGUAAAGGCCUACCAAGGCGACGAUCAGUAGCUGGUCUGAGAGGACGAUCAGCCACACUGGGACUGAGACACGGCCCAGACUCCUACGGGAGGCAGCAGUGGGGAAUUUUGGACAAUGGGCGAAGGCCUGAUCCAGCAAUGCCGCGUGUGUGAAGAAGGCCUUCGGGUUGUAAAGCACUUUUGUCCGGAAAGAAAUGGCUCUGGUUAAUACCUGGGGUCGAUGACGGUACCGGAAGAAUAAGGACCGGCUAACUACGUGCCAGCCGCCGCCGUAA
rnacentral:rRNA from 1 species